GUAGCUGUCUAAUCGUAAUCGCCCUUUCCAAAAUCCAAAUAUUUACCUUUACAUAAAAACAAAAUAUUUUUGCCUGAUUCCGUCUCUUAUUGUAUACCUAAUUUAGUAGUAUUAGGAAAGAUAUUUUUCGCUUCUAUUAAUUUCUACAACUAAUUGUUUUCAGACCAAUUGUUAGGCGGUAUUCAUCUUAGUGCUUUAAUUAGUAUCUUCCAGUAUCUUCAUUCGUAACGUAGCCUGUGCCUUUGGUUCUUUAGACUACUUAUUGCUUUUAUUAUUAAACUAAAAAGAACAGAAUGGCAGCUGUAAUCCCUGCAGUCACGAGGUUAUCAAGCAGAAUUAUACGAAUUCUUGGAUGCAAUCCAGGACCUAUGACUCUACAGGGUACUAAUACAUAUUUAAUAGGAACUGGGAAAAACCGCAUUUUGCUUGAUACAGGUGACAAAGACAUAAAAGAUUACCAGGAACAUCUGUCCAAUGUGGUUGCAUCUGAGAAGGUUAACAUUGAACACAUUGUGGUGACACACUGGCAUCACGAUCACAUUGGCGGAGUGGAGAACUUAUAUGGAUCUAUUGCAAAAAGCCCGAAGGUGUGGAAGCACAGACGGGACCCAAUCGACAUGCCUGACAGUCAGCUGCCCAACACAAUCCCACUCAACUGGCUCUCCGACGGACAAGAGAUCACAGUUGAGGGAGCCACAAUCAAAAUACACCAUACACCAGGUCACACCACAGAUCAUGUAGUACUAACCUUACUUGAAGAGAAUAUACUCUUCAGUGGUGACUGUAUACUGGGGGAGGGGACGGCAGUGUUUGAGGAUCUCUACACGUAUAUGAAGAGUUUGCAGAGGAUACUAGAUUUGAAGCCCACCGUUAUUUAUCCUGGACAUGGAAAUGUUGUUGAAGAUCCGAUACAAAAGAUAGAAUAUUACAUAGAGCACAGAAACCAGCGUGAGAAGCAAAUUCUUGAGACACUGGAAAAGAAUUCAGACAAACAACUUAACGAGAUGGAUCUAGUCAAAAUUAUCUACACGGAGACUCCUGAGCACCUGUGGCCGGCCGCCGCCUACAAUGUCAAUCAUCAUCUCACGAAAUUGACCAAAGAGAAUAAGGUCAAAUGUGUGACCGUUGAUGGAGAGAGCAGAUGGCAGUUUGUUGGCGCUAGGAGUAACUUAUAAAAUGAAGAAUUUUAUGACUAGUCCUAAGAAAAACCAUUUAAAUCAUUGCGUGAUGCAUUAAGUGACGUUUGACAGUAAAAUAGGGGUUCAUUUGUGUAGUCCACAUGGACGAAGGGAUACAGGGAACGCGUUGAAGAGGUGAUGCGUAAGGUGGACGGUUACAGAUAUGAUAUUAUAUUAGAUGGUAUUAUUAUGGAAAAUUAAAGGUUUUAUAUUCUGUUAA